rnacentral:rRNA from 1 species
UACGUAGGUGGCAAGCGUUGUCCGGAUUUACUGGGCGUAAAGAGCGCGCAGGCGGUCGUUUAAGUCGAAUGUGAAAGCCCCCGGCUCAACUGGGGAGGGUCAUUCGAUACUGAUCGACUUGAAGGCAGGAGAGAGAAGUGGAAUUCCCGGUGUAGUGGUGAAAUGCGUAGAUAUCGGGAGGAACACCAGUGGCGAAGGCGGUUCUCUGGGCCUUACCUGACACUGAGGAGCGAAAGCGUGGGGAGCGAACAGG